rnacentral:rRNA from 1 species
ACUGGGACUGAGACACGGCCCAGACUCCUACGGGAGGCAGCAGUGGGGAAUUUUGGACAAUGGGGGAAACCCUGAUCCAGCCAUGCCGCGUGCAGGAUGAAGGUCUUCGGAUUGUAAACUGCUUUUGUCAGGGACGAAAAGGUUUCGGUUAAUACCCGAAACUGCUGACGGUACCUGAAGAAUAAGCACCGGCUAACUACGUGCCAGCAGCCGCGGUAAUACGUAGGGUGCAAGCGUUAUCCGGAAUUAUUGGGCGUAAAGGGCUCGUAGGCGGUUCGUCGCGUCCGGUGUGAAAGUCCAUCGCUUAACGGUGGAUCCGCGCCGGGUACGGGCGGGCUUGAGUGCGGUAGGGGAGACUGGAAUUCCCGGUGUAACGGUGGAAUGUGUAGAUAUCGGGAAGAACACCAAUGGCGAAGGCAGGUCUCUGGGCCGUUACUGACGCUGAGGAGCGAAAGCGUGGGGAGCGAACAGGAUUAGAUACCCUGGUAGUCCACGCCGUAAACGGUGGAUGCUGGAUGUGGGGCCCGUUCCACGGGUUCCGUGUCGGAGCUAACGCGUUAAGCAUCCCGCCUGGGGAGUACGGCCGCAAGGCUAAAACUCAAAGAAAUUGACGGGGGCCCGCACAAGCGGCGGAGCAUGCGGAUUAAUUCGAUGCAACGCGAAGAACCUUACCUGGGCUUGACAUGUUCCCGACGGUCGUAGAGAUACGGCUUCCCUUCGGGGCGGGUUCACAGGUGGUGCAUGGUCGUCGUCAGCUCGUGUCGUGAGAUGUUGGGUUAAGUCCCGCAACGAGCGCAACCCUCGCCCCGUGUUGCCAGCGGAUUAUGCCGGGAACUCACGGGGGACCGCCGGGGUUAACUCGGAGGAAGGUGGGGAUGACGUCAGAUCAUCAUGCCCCUUACGUCCAGGGCUUCACGCAUGCUACAAUGGCCGGUACAACGGGAUGCGACGCGGCGACGCGGAGCGGAUCCCUGAAAACCGGUCUCAGUUCGGAUCGCAGUCUGCAACUCGACUGCGUGAAGGCGGAGUCGCUAGUAAUCGCGAAUCAGCAACGUCGCGGUGAAUGCGUUCCCGGGCCUUGUACACACCGCCCGUCAAGUCAUGAAAGUGGGCAGCACCCGAAGCCGGUGGCCUAACCCCUUGUGGGAUGGAGCCGUCUAAGGUGAGGCUCGUGAUUGGGACUAAGUCGUAACAAGGUAGCCGUACCGGAAGGUGCGGCUG